rnacentral:rRNA from 1 species
GACGAACGCUGGCGGCGUGCCUAAUACAUGCAAGUCGAACGGUCUUUUCUAUGGAAGCUUGCUUCCGCUGAGAAGAUAGUGGCGAACGGGUAAGUAACACGUGGGUAACCUGCCCAUAAGAGGGGGAUAACAUCCGGAAACGGGUGCUAAUACCGCAUAGUUUUCUUGAUCGCAUGAUUGAGAAAGGAAAGACGGCCUUUGUGCUGUCGCUUAUGGAUGGACCCGCGGCGUAUUAGUUAGUUGGUGUGGUAACGGCUCACCAAGACGAUGAUACGUAGCCGACCUGAGAGGGUGCUCGGCCACAUUGGGACUGAGACACGGCCCAAACUCCUACGGGAGGCAGCAGUAGGGAAUCUUCCGCAAUGGACGAAAGUCUGACGGAGCAACGCCGCGUGAGUGAAGAAGGUUUUCGGAUCGUAAAACUCUGUUGUCAGAGAAGAACAGGUCGGAGAGUAACUGCUCCGGCCUUGACGGUAUCUGACCAGAAAGCCACGGCUAACUACGUGCCAGCCGCCGCCGUAACAC